rnacentral:rRNA from 1 species
UACGAAGGGGGCUAGCGUUGCUCGGAAUCACUGGGCGUAAAGCGCACGUAGGCGGAUUGUUAAGUCAGGGGUGAAAUCCUGGAGCUCAACUCCAGAACUGCCUUUGAUACUGGCGAUCUUGAGUACGGGAGAGGUGAGUGGAACUGCGAGUGUAGAGGUGAAAUUCGUAGAUAUUCGCAAGAACACCAGUGGCGAAGGCGGCUCACUGGCCCGUAACUGACGCUGAGGCACGAAAGCGUGGGGAGCAAACAGG